rnacentral:rRNA from 1 species
UAACCUGCCCAAGAGAUCGGGAUAACACCUGGAAACAGAUGCUAAUACCGGAUAACAACAGAUGAUGCCUAUCAACUGUUUAAAAGAUGGUUCUGCUAUCACUCUUGGAUGGACCUGCGGUGCAUUAGCUAGUUGGUAGGGUAACGGCCUACCAAGGCGAUGAUGCAUAGCCAGUUGAGAGACUGAUCGGCCACAUUGGGACUGAGACACGGCCCAAACUCCUACGGGAGGCAGCAGC